CGCCCUCCUCGAGGCGCCCAUCAGCCUCCUGGGAGCUGCGGUCCCCGGAGGCGGGCAGGCCACAGCCUCCUCACCAGGGGCCUCGUGGCUGCCCCUGAGUACCUCUCAGCCUGGGGUUCUCCAAGCUCAAAGAGGUAUCUGAACCUUGAGCCAAAAUACACCAAAGAAGAGAUUCUCCUCACAUCCUCUACCUCCUCGAAGUUACAGGUCUCUGGUGGGCCAGAGAAGCUGCUCGUCUGUUACCCUUUCCUGUGGAGAGAAGACCUCCUGGCCCAUAUCCUUCCAUAAACUCAGAUCCCAGAUCUCUGGCCUGUGAGUAAAAAAAGAGAAGAGUGUGUCACAUUUAGGAUUUAAAGGAUGUGAAGCCCCAAAGGAGCAGAUAGUAGAAUUUCAGGCAUUAUCCAGCAGGUGGUAAGGAAUUUGGGGGAAUGCAAGCUGACUUGGUCCUAUUUGCUAAAUUAGCCUUGCACUCAGGAUGCUUCUGGGCCCCCAUAUCUCUCCAGUGCAUGCAAGCUGCUUCUCAGAGCUGAUGAGCGUGACCCUGUUUCAGUUCUGUCCACCACGACAGCCCCUGGCCCCACUGAGCACUUGAAGUCUGGUUGGUCUGAAUGGGGAUGCGCUGCCAGUGUAAAUUAAAGCGCAGCAUAACCAACAAGACUUACUGCAUAGCACAGGGAACUCUACUCAAUAUCUUGUAAUAACCCAUAAUGGAAAAAAAUCUUGGAUAUAUAUGUAUAUGUAUAUGUAUAUGUAUAACUGAAUCACUUUGUUGUACACCUUAAAUUAACACAGCAUUGUAAAUCAAUUAUAUUUCAAUAAAAAUUAAACACACACUCACACAGCAGAUUUCAAAGGCAGCACGCAAAAAGAAAGUAUCUCAUUAAUAUUAUUGUAUUGAUUAUAUAUUGACAUGACAAGUUUUUAAUCUGUUGGGUUAAAUAAAUUGUUAAAGUUAUUUUCCUCUGUUUCUUUUUACUUUCUUCUGAUGUGGCUAGUAGAGCAUUUAAUUUACAUAUUCAGCUUGUAUUCAGGGGUCACAUUAUAUUUCUAUUGGACAGUACUGUUCUAAGUGAAUCCUUCCCUUUUGAAGUUACUUUUGAGGACUUGCUUAUUAAUUUCCUUCUUUCAUUAGCCACAUGCAUGGAGGCCACUCAGAGCUCCAGGGAAAUUUCCUUUCUGCUAGAUCAUUUCAGUUCAAUCACUCAGUCAUGUCCGACUCUUUGCGACCCCAUGAAUCUGCUAGACAGGCACUGAAAGAUCAGAAGUGGGCCGGGAGCCCAGCUUGACUUGUUUCCAAAUAAUGGCUUCUGGUGACAUCGUGUGGUCAUUUCUUAGUACUACACCAACCACAGGCUGUGCGCAGUCCCCAUUUCCCAGUUCUGGUGUUACCCAUUGCUCGCUGUAGUUACCGCACUGGCUGGGCUAAUAGAUCAGAAAUCCUACACUUGCAGAAGAAUGUUUUUCCCCCACAUGUGUCCUGUUAUCCUCUCAGCCUCCUUUCAGCUCUGCUACAUCUGCAGUAUUGGGUUGACCGCACUAACCUACUGCGAGGUUUUCUUUACUCAAGAGAACAACUCUAGAAACCUCUCUCUAGAAAACAGAUAUUCUAGCCUGGAAACCUUGCAAAAAGUUGAGUGGUCUUAGGGAAGUCUUUCUACUUCUCUGUGCCCCUUUUUCCUCAUGUGCAAAAAAGGUCAUAUAGCAGAUGACCUCUAACCUCAGCUCUGGCUCCCCAAAUCCUCUUUGGUGGAGUGGACUCAACCCCUCACAGGUGGUCACCUAUAAGAAAGGGCUUAAUGUGAAGUUCAUGGAGGUGACUUAACACAGAGCAGAGGUAACUGACCAUGAUUUCUGAGGGGGCGAUAAUAGGAACACAAUUUCAUCGGUGAAGACUAAGUACUUUACAUAUGCUAUCUCAUUUAAUGCUCACAACCAUCCCACAAAUUAGGUAUGAAUAUAAAAAGGUAAAGAAUCUGCCCACAAUGAGGGAGACCUGAGUUCAAUCCCUGGGUUGGGAAGAUCCUCUGGAGAAGGGCAUGGCAACCCAGUCCAGUAUUCUUGCUUGGAGAAUCCCAUGGACAGAGAAGCCUGGUGGGCUACAGUCCAUAGGGUCACAAAGAGUUGGACGUGACUGAGUUGGGCACACAAAUAGCAAACAGAAUUUUAAUAUACACAAAGUUAAAAAUCCAUCUAGGAGAUCAGGGGACCCUAUAGAAGAAAGCAGACUGUCCCAAGAGAAUCUAACUGUAUUGCAAAUGAAUGAGACAUUUGCAUUCGAAAGGGGUGGAGAAAGAUACUGAUCUAAGCAACUUUGGAAAUAAGUAAGAAUAGAGGCAUGGGAAAGUGCACAUAAGCACUGUGCUCUGUUAACAAAAUUGUUUCCCAUGUGGGCAUGCAGUACUUAUUCUGAUAUUAUUAAGCAUGUAGAUGGGAAUUGGACAAUCAAGUAAAUGGUUGACAGAUGAUGGGAAACCAAUUGCUUAUAGUUGGAGUGGGAAUUUACAAAUAGUCAAGGAGAGGAAGCUGGAAUGAUCCAUGUGGUAAUGGAUUAGAGUGGGAAACAUUAGUAUAAACCCAUGUGUAGCUUAUACAGAUGAUUACAUAUAGAAAUAUUUGUAUAUGUGUAUAUAUAUAUAUAUAUAUAUAUAUAUAUAUACACACACACACACACACGGGUUAAUAUAUACAUACAUAGUUCCUGUCCUAUAGGCUAAGAGGGCCUAGAAGCAAUGACACCCCAAUAACAAUAAGCAUCUUAGCACCCAGAUCUUGGUUUCUAAUACCAUUCUCCAAUAAGGAACCAAGAGUCCUUGGAGAAAUGGCCAAUUCUAGAACCAGAAAAGGAAAUACACAUGGUGAACCUGGAGCAUUUUGUGUUGCUAGAAUAUAAGAAAGUGCUCAAAACUUUAAAACCCUCCAUUGAUAGAGGCAUACAGGAGUCAACUGAAAGGAUUCCUAAUGAUAAAACUGGAACACCAAGCUACAAAAUAAAGUAGUAUUGUAACAUUUGACCCAAAGUUUAAAAUAAAUAUGUAUUCAUGGGCCCAUACUGAUAUCAAUGAUUGAAUAUAUAAAUGAAAGGGAGAAAAGAGGCAGAUUUCCCUUGAAGAAAAUAAUACAUUUCACCCCCAAGG